UACGUAGGUGGCAAGCGUUGUCCGGAUUUACUGGGCGUAAAGAGCGCGCAGGCGGUCGUUCAAGUCGCGUGUGAAAGCCCCCGGCUCAACUGGGGAGGGUCACGCGAUACUGAUCGACUCGAAGGCAGGAGAGGGAAGUGGAAUUCCCGGUGUAGCGGUGAAAUGCGCAGAUAUCAGGAAGAACACCCGUGGCUAAGGCGGCUCUCUAGUACGGUACUGACGCUGAGACGCGAAAGCGUGGGGAGCGAACAGG
rnacentral:rRNA from 1 species